CUGGUUUGACUUCUACCCUUUCGCCUCUUGAGAAAACCUUUCUCGCGAACAAGCCCCAGCCAAGAAUCUUAUCUCAAGAGGCAAUAUUUAAGCGCGCAAUAAGGAUAACACGUAGGGAGAAUCAUAUGUGUGACCAGUGGGAGAUUGUUAGAAUUUCUGACAAUUUAUGGGUCACAAAUAUAAUUCUAUAAUUGUGUUAUGGCCAUUAUGUAAUUAGCCAAAAUAUAAAAUGAUCUU
rnacentral:lncRNA from 1 species